GCCUUCGUGGUGUAGUGGUCAGCACGCUCGACGCGUAAGGGAGAGGUCCAUGGUUCGAUUCCCGGCGAAGGCG
rfam:Stegodyphus mimosarum contig40351, whole genome shotgun sequence.